rnacentral:ncRNA from 2 species
UUAUAAUGCGCGGCUUCAGGUGCCGACGCGGCNNNNNNNNNAAACAGGUGCGUGGCCGCAAGCCAUCAAGCCUGUGCUGCCCCCGCAACGGUCAGCGCUAAACGGUCCAUCAAACACGCCACUGGGUUCGCCCGGGAAGGCGAUGCACUUCAAGCGCGAGCCCGGAUACCGGCCUGGACCCUGCAUGGCGC